rfam:Marine metagenome 657870, whole genome shotgun sequence.
AUAACAGAGGAAGGAUUUGACUGAUUGCAACCUCUCAAAAAAAUUGCUAAAGCAGUAAUU